GCUUCGAAGCAGCUGAAGUUAACGUCUUUCUUCUUUAAUAAGUUAUGUUGCAGUCUGCAAGAUCUGAAAGUUUUUCGAAAACGACGAAAGCAUGAGAUACUUUUUGAGACAUAUUUAGAUCUCUUGUCUUCAAAAUGUAAAGCGGACUAAGCGACUGAAAUAAUUGUAUUUACAUUUAAGCUAUGAAUACUCACCAAAAGAAAAAUCGUCAGCUCCGCAAUCUGCCUCAAGCAAAUGUGGCCAUUACAAUGGUGACUUUUUGUAAAAUUACAACGAAAACUUGUGACAACAGUGUGUGAUAGAUAUCAUAAGUGAAGAAAUAAAAAUGAUAAUGAUAUAAAACCAUUUUAUAUGAAAUUUCCAAAUGGAAUUAAUAACACUGCGCUUAGAGAAUGUCGUUUAAGUGCGUCUGAUUCUAUAAAAAGGCCUAUUUGAACUACUUUGAGAAUAAAAUACAUAGAACAUAACUGACGGAUAUGCGUCGAUCUAAAAACUUUCUUUUGGGUCAACAAGAAGGAUAUACCAAAUAGCCGAGCCAAGACAGAUCACUGCAGUAAAAACGUUUGAUCUUUGAGAGUGAAUUUGGUGCGGCUAGUAUGAAUGUGAUGAAUGCCCCUCUCGUAACCAGAGACCGUAUUAUAUUACCCCCUCUACAUAUAAAGUUAGGUCAGGGAACUAAUAAAGAACCAACAAUUUACUGAUUGUAUGACAGGUAAGAAGAAAUCUGCGGGGAUUGAUUUAUUAGGGUUGUGCAAAAUUUCUUAGAGACUAGGAUGUAACACAAACAUCAAGUUGGAACUCCUCUUCAACCAUUUAGAAGAAGAAGAAGAAUAACGCUUUAGUCAGGUAUCAGGUCUCAGUGAUAUCGCCAGAAUUAAUGUAUUUGGAAGGAAUAAAAUCAAUCACACGUUACUUGCUCCUAAAGAAGCUGCUUAUUUGUCGGAAACGCUGAUAUUGGACCACUAUAUCAUAUAGCUGCCAUACAAACUGAACGA